UACGAAGGGGGCUAGCGUUGCUCGGAAUCACUGGGCGUAAAGCGCACGUAGGCGGCUUGUUAAGUCAGGGGUGAAAUCCUGGAGCUCAACUCCAGAACUGCCUUUGAUACUGGGGAUCUCGAGUCCGGGAGAGGUGAGUGGAACUGCGAGUGUAGAGGUGAAAUUCGUAGAUAUUCGCAAGAACACCAGUGGCGAAGGCGGGUCUCUGGGCCGAUACUGACGCUGAGGAGCGAAAGCGUGGGGAGCGAACAGG
rnacentral:rRNA from 1 species